rnacentral:rRNA from 1 species
UACAGAGGUCCCAAGCGUUGUUCGGAUUCACUGGGCGUAAAGGGUGCGCAGGUGGUCGGGUAAGUCUGAUGUGAAAUCCCGCAGCUUAACUGCGGAAUGGCAUUGGAUACUAUUCGGCUAGAGGGUUGGAGGGGGGACUGGAAUUCUCGGUGUAGCAGUGAAAUGCGUAGAUAUCGAGAGGGACACCAGUGGCGAAGGCGAGUCCCUGGACAACUCCUGACGCUGAGGCACGAAAGCUAGGGGAGCAAACAGG